GAUGAACGCUGGCGGCGUGCCUAAUACAUGCCAGUCGAGCGAACAGAUAAGGAGCUUGCUCCUUUGACGUUAGCGGCGGACGGGUGGGUAACACGUGGGUAACCUACCUAUAAGACUGGGAUAACUUCGGGAAACCGGAGCUAAUACCGGAUAAUAUUUCGAACCGCAUGGUUCGAUAGUGAAAGAUGGUUUUGCUAUCACUUAUAGAUGGACCCGCGCCGUAUUAGCUAGUUGGUAAGGUAACGGCUUACCAAGGCGACGAUACGUAGCCGACCUGAGAGGGUGAUCGGCCACACUGGAACUGAGACACGGUCCAGACUCCUACGGGAGGCAGCAGUAGGGAAUCUUCCGCAAUGGGCGAAAGCCUGACGGAGCAACGCCGCGUGAGUGAUGAAGGUCUUCGGAUCGUAAAACUCUGUUAUUAGGGAAGAACAUACGUGUAAGUAACUGUGCACGUCUUGACGGUACCUAAUCAGAAAGCCACGGCUAACUACGUG
rnacentral:rRNA from 1 species